rnacentral:rRNA from 1 species
GAUGUUGGGUUAAGUCCCGCAACGAGCGCAACCCUUGUCAUUAGUUGCUACGAAAGGGCACUCUAAUGAGACUGCCGGUGACAAACCGGAGGAAGGUGGGGAUGACGUCAGGUCAUCAUGGCCCUUAUGGGUAGGGCUACACACGUCAUACAAUGGCUGGUACAAAGGGUUGCCAACCCGCGAGGGGGAGCUAAUCCCAUAAAACCAGUCGUAGUCCGGAUCGCAGUCUGCAACUCGACUGCGUGAAGUCGGAAUCGCUAGUAAUCGUGGAUCAGCAUGCCACGGUGAAUACGUUCCCGGGCCUUGUACACACCGCCCGUCACGUCACGAAAGUCGGCAACACCCGAAGCCGGUGGCCCAACCCUUGUGGAGGGAGCCGUCGAAGGUGGGAUCGGUAAUUAGGACUAAGUCGUAACAAGGUAGCCGUACCGGAAGGUGCGGCUGGAUCACCUCCUU